AUUGAACGCUGGCGGCAGGCCUAACACAUGCAAGUCGAACGCGUGGCGGACGCGUGAGUAAUGUCUGGGAAACUGCCCGAUGGAGGGGGAUAACUACUGGCAACGGUAGCUCAUACCGCCUACCCUCGGAUGUGCGCCGAUGGGAUUAGCUAGUAGGUGGGGUAACGGCUCACCUAGGCGACGAUCCCUAUCUGGUCUGAGAGGAUGACCAGCCACACUGGGACUGAGACACGGGCCAGACUCCUACGGGAGGCAGCAGUGGGGAAUAUUGCACAAUGGGCGAAAGCCUGAUGCAGCCAUGCCGCGUGUAUGAUGAAGGCCUUCGGGUUGUAAAGUACUUUCAGCGAGGAAGCGUUACUCGCAGAAGAAGCACCGGCUAACUCCGUGCCAGCAGCCGCGGUAAUAC
rnacentral:rRNA from 1 species